GACGAACGCUGGCGGCGUGCUUAACACAUGCGAGUCGAACGGUAAGGCCCUUCGGGGUACACGAGUGGCGAACGGGUGAGUAACACGUGGGUGAUCUGCCCUGCACUUCGGGAUAAGCCUGGGAAACUGGGUCUAAUACCGGAUAGGACCCUGGGAUGCAUGUCCUGGGGUGGAAAGCUUUUGCGGUGUGGGAUGGGCCCGCGGCCUAUCAGCUUGUUGGUGGGGUGAUGGCCUACCAAGGCGACGACGGGUAGCCGGCCUGAGAGGGUGACCGGCCACACUGGGACUGAGAUACGGCCCAGACUCCUACGGGAGGCAGCAGUGGGGAAUAUUGCACAAUGGGCGCAAGCCUGAUGCAGCGACGCCGCGUGAGGGAUGACGGCCUUCGGGUUGUAGACCUCUUUCAGCACCGACGAAGCGCAAGUGACGGUAGGUGCAGAAGAAGGACCGGCCAACUACGUGCCAGCAGCCGCGGUAA
rnacentral:rRNA from 1 species